rnacentral:rRNA from 1 species
GCCAGUGGUGAUAUCACGUUGAAUGCUCUAGUUUCCAAUUGAUCACUGACGUUCAGCAACGUUGCGCGUGGUUGAUAUUCGGAUGGGUGACCAUCUGGGCAAUCGCGCUCUGCGGGCU